UCUAUAUUAAGAUGAGUAUAUAUAUAUAUAUAUAUAAUUUUGUUUCUUUGUUUCUUUGUUUCUAUCUUUCUCUCUUUCUUUCUCUCUUUCUCUUUCUUUCUUUCUUUCUUCCUUCCUUCCUUCCUUCCUUCCUUCCUUUCUUUCUUUCUUUCUUUCUUUCUUUCUUUCUUUCUUUCUUUCUUUCUUUCUUUCUUUCUUUCUUUCUUUCUUUCUUUCUUUCUUUCUUUCUUUCUUUCUUUCUUUCUUUCUUUCUUUCUUUCUUUCUUUCUUUCUUUCUUUCUUAUAACUAACUGUAUGACUCUGUGGCCUAGGAUCUGCAUUAAGGAAUAA
rnacentral:lncRNA from 1 species